GGGCAGGGACCAGCCAUGCUCAUCUCUAUACUUCCAGCACUAAUACAGAGCCUGACAAUUGGCUCAACUGAGCUGACCUUCUGGAGAAGGAUGACAUGGAAAGGACACACAGACAUCCAGAAAUACUAGCUGCCUCAGGGAGAACUCGGUGGCUGGAAAGGAAGGAAGCUUCACUGACACAGGAAAUUUUUAUCAUAUAAUGACUGCAACCACAUAGUGACUCCAAGUGGAACCAGGAGAAGAACUGGCCAGCUUAACUCAGUACAACUGCUGAAACAAAAAAAUCAUGAGGAAAUAA